rnacentral:rRNA from 1 species
UACGAAGGGGGCUAGCGUUGUUCGGAAUUACUGGGCGUAAAGCGUAUGCAGGCGGAUCGUUAAGUCGAGGGUGAAAUCCCGAGGCUCAACCUCGGAACUGCCUUCGAUACUGGCGAUCUUGAGUCCGGGAGAGGUGAGUGGAACUCCGAGUGUAGAGGUGAAAUUCGUAGAUAUUCGGAAGAACACCAGUGGCGAAGGCGGCUCACUGGCCCGGUACUGACGCUGAGAUACGAAAGCGUGGGGAGCAAACAGG